AAAUCAUGUACCCCCACAGAGG
rnacentral:miRNA from 1 species